AAAACUUUGAGGCAAGGAAUGGCACCUAAUUUCAAUUCAAUGAUUCACCUCACCUCUCUAGUUUGAUCAUGAAUCUACCUCAGCAUAACAACACAAGACCAAGGGUGGGUUCCCUUCCCAUUUGCACCACAAAUAUCCACUGCAUGAAAAUGAUGGGCAAAAACAUAAAGUACUCUAAAUUUAACCCCAUCAUUUUAGUUGGCUUUUCUGACAACUGAAAUGAAAUGUGCCAAGUUUUCUAAACCCCACAUAGGCAGCCAAGUCAUAUGCUUAGAAGUACAUUUGCAUUCUGAGGCUACACCUACUCCGACACUUCAAACAUGAACACUCGACAUUUUCUAUCUCCUUUUUUCUUGAACUACGAUUGCCCUACCAUGAAUGCUUUCUUCACCCACUUUGAUGAUGAUGACUGCCAAACAUGAUUCCAAGGAAAACGUUU
rnacentral:misc_RNA from 1 species